rnacentral:rRNA from 1 species
UUUCCUAUUAUAAGGUAAUAUUUUUUAAAAAACCUAUGCCCUUUGACGGCCCUUUUUCUGAUUAGAGGAACUUGUUGUUUUUCGAAAAUACCCGUUCAAUUUUACUUUUUUUAGCUUUUAUACCGCCGUCUUAAGAAUGAAUUAACACACGCUUUCUUAAUAGUUUUUCUAAAAAGUCAGGUCAAGGUGAAGCUUUACUUCAGUUCACAAUAAGUUAUACAUUAACAAAAUUAAGGGAAAAUAAAUUAAAAUUUAUUUACAAUUAAGAUUUAACAGUAUAAAUUUAAUAACAAUUUAUUUAGAAUUAGAAAAAAAGGGUGC